CCCUUAGAUGUCCGGGGCUGCACGCGCGCUACACUGUAGAAAGCAGCGUGCUUUAAAACCUUUCCUGAAAAGGAUGGGUAACCCCAGCAAAGUUCUACGUGCUUGGGAUAGAGAUUUGCAAUUUUCUCUCUUGAACGAGGAAUUCCCAGUAAGUGCGAGUCAUCAGCUCGCGUUGAUUACGUCCCUGCCCUUUGUACACACCGCCCGUCGCUACUACCGAUUGGGAAAAUUUCAGAAAUCCCAGGAUCUGCGAUUGUUCGGCUUCACGGCCUUACUUUUACGGAGAAUGGGCUUAAUGAUAUUUUUCUAGAGGAAGUAAAAGUCGUANCA
rnacentral:rRNA from 1 species